rnacentral:lncRNA from 1 species
CAUAUAGUUAUGACAAUUAUAUUUCCAAGAUAUUCUGGGAUCUUUACAGUUUCAUAAUUUUGCUCUUUUUACUAUACAACACUCUUUUUAUUGAAACAAAUAUAGAUUUUGGAGUCAGACAGACCUAGUCUGGAUUUGAAUUCCAGCUCUCCUUACCCGCCUAGGGCCAUGGAGAAUGUUGUCAAUUUCCCUGAGCCUCAGUGUUCUUCUCUGUAAAAUGUGGAUAAUACCUGACUCCCAGGCAUUUUGCCAGGAUUACAUUGGAUUCCUACCCAGCGCAAUGUCUAGUGAUAAUAUAAAUGCUAAAAGCAACUUGUUAAAUGCAUAAGUAAAUGUGAUUUAUUUUUGCUCCUUUACAUACAGUAUCAUGGAUAUAAUUUGUAGAUGUGUGUACUGUGAAUACAAUGGCCACUUCUCUUGCUCCCA